UACGUAGGGUGCGAGCGUUGAUCGGAAUUACUGGGCGUAAAGUGUGCGCAGGCGGCCGCGCAAGUCGGGUGUGAAAGCCCCGAGCUUAACUUGGGAAUUGCGCUCGAAACUACGUGGCUGGAGUGUGGCAGAGGAAGGUGGAAUUCCACGUGUAGCGGUGAAAUGCGUAGAGAUGUGGAGGAACACCGAUGGCGAAGGCAGCCUUCUGGGCCAACACUGACGCUCAUGCACGAAAGCGUGGGGAGCAAACAGG
rnacentral:rRNA from 1 species